rnacentral:misc_RNA from 1 species
CUUGCCGGUCAAGCCCGCUCAUA